rnacentral:rRNA from 1 species
GACGAACGCUGGCGGCGUGCUUAACACAUGCAAGUCGAACGGAAAGGCCCUGCUUUUGUGGGGUGCUCGAGUGGCGAACGGGUGAGUAACACGUGAGUAACCUGCCCUUGACUUUGGGAUAACUUCAGGAAACUGGGGCUAAUACCGGAUAGGAGCUCCUGCUGCAUGGUGGGGGUUGGAAAGUUUCGGCGGUUGGGGAUGGACUCGCGGCUUAUCAGCUUGUUGGUGGUGUAGUGGCUUACCAAGGCUUUGACGGGUAGCCGGCCUGAGAGGGUGACCGGCCACAUUGGGACUGAGAUACGGCCCAGACUCCUACGGGAGGCGGCAGUGGGGAAUAUUGCACAAUGGGCGGAAGCCUGAUGCAGCAACGCCGCGUGCGGGAUGACGGCCUUCGGGUUGUAAACCGCUUUCGCCUGUGACGAAGCGUGAGUGACGGUAAUGGGUAAAGAAGCACCGGCUAACUACGUG